UACAGAGGGUGCGAGCGUUGUCCGGAAUCACUGGGCGUAAAGGGCGCGUAGGUGGCGCGACAAGUCAGUGGUGAAAGUUCGACGCUUAACGUCGAAUCGGCCACUGAUACUGUUGGGCUUGAGCACUGUAGAGGCUAGUGGAAUUCCUGGUGUAGCGGUGAAAUGCGCAGAUAUCAGGAGGAACACCGAUUGCGAAGGCAGCUCGCUGGAACGUUACUGACGCUGAGACGCGAAAGCGUGGGGAGCAAACAGG
rnacentral:rRNA from 1 species